UGCUUCUAUUUAUACGAGUACGAGGCUUUUCUCUCCUUCCCCAAAUUCUCUGCUUAGAUUUGUUCUUUCGUCUUCCACUCCUCUUCCUUCUCUAUAGUCCGAUCAGGUAUCAUUCAUCUCUUGUUCGAGCAAAAACGACGAUUCCUUAGUUUUAUCCUAAAAACCAAAGAGCUAUGGAUUCUACUGUUUUGUGUCCAACAGGACUUGUGAUAGCACAUCGCACAAAGACGAACACCCUAGUUUUGUUUCUUCUGUGGUUAUGUAUCUUCUUUUAUGUUUCUUCUGAGUUGAUAACACUAUCAUAACUUGAUUACACUGUUUGUCCUUAAUCAAAUUGAUUUCAUACUCUCAGGUUUUGUCUACUGUUUCGUUUAGGUUAUUGGUUAUUACUUGCUCCUUUAAAUUUUAUGCAUAUCACUCACUGUUUCUUCCUUCAAAAUCUCGAUGCAGCUCAUUGUCAAAAUUCCCGUUUGAGCUUUCCUGUUUUGCUGAACCUUGUCUCGAGAUUGGCUACUAUAACAGUGUCUUCCAUGACUGUAAUAACCAAAUUGAUACAGGUGUAUAGACUUAGAACGGUUAAGGAUUUUCCCAUCUGGCCAAGAACAUGAGUAGGUGCAUUUUCAAUGGAUAUAGGAAGGUUUUGGGAGAUUUAGUUCAUAUCUGCUCAAGAAAGUGUUUUGGUUAAUAUUGAUAGUGAUCAGUUUGACAUGAAACUGUUGUUUGUGGAAGAUUCAAGAAUUGCUGGUAAGCAUAUCAAUGUACUGUUGCGUGCAAUCCUCAGGUGUGGUUAAAUUUCUUAUGUUUAUAACAUAAUUUUUCAACACCGCUUGGUUAUGAAUGAAAUUUUUCAGUUUAGUUACAUUUGCUAGGUGCAUCCAUAAGUAGGUAGCUAUCUACCUUCCUAUUGCGGACAGGAACUUUAAGUUUGGCAUCAAGAACGAGAAGGUAUAAAGGCUUUAGGAUGAGGGAGGUGAAGGCACAACCCAAAGAGCUAAAGCUAGUUGGAGCUCAUUGCCAUCUAGGCUCUACCAUUACAAAGGUACAUCCAUAUGUAGCUAGUUACUGGAACACGAACUCUAGUUGGUAUCAAGCUAUAAUGGAUUCUGGCUGAGGGAGGUUAAGGCACAUCCGAAAGUGCUGAAGGUUGUUGGAGCUCAUUGCCAUAUAAGCUCUACCAUUACAAAGGUGGAUAUAUUCAGUCUUAUGGUGGAAACAAUUGAUCACUUCCGGCGUCACGACUUUGCGAUUACAUGGGUGUAUCUACGUAACAUGGGUAAUGGUUCUAGGUUCAAGGUGUUCUCAUUCGCUAGAUCUUUAUUGAGAAUGCAGUGGUCAAUGAAGUCUUUGUACAGCAACGGAGUCACUUUGUAUGGUGAACCAAGGGAAAGUACAAUACUGAACAUACCAGAAGCAUGGUCGUUCAACCAUGAAUACUGAUUCCAUGGCUUGCUCUAUUGAAGUUGUAGAAGACAUUAACGGUGCUACGAUUACAUUCAUGGGAGAGCACACAUAGACUGCAUUGUGAUAGAGGAUCCCCAAGUUGCAGAGCUAUUCCUUCACCAAGUAGACAAGUUGAUGUUUUCCAAAACGCAAGUCCAUGAUUCUCUGAUGGUUUUCGAUUUGGAAAUUGGAAUUGGUGCUGAGGUGAGAGUGAAGUUUUUCAGUUUGGUUACAAUUUUUAGGUGCUACCUACCUUUCUAUUGCGGACAAGUACUUAAAGUUUGGCAUCAAGAAAGAGAAUGUAUAAAGGCUUCAGGAGUAGAGAGAUGAAGGCACAUCCCAAAGAGCUAAAGCUUGUUGGAGCUCAUUAUUAUCUAGGCUCUACCAUUACAAAGGUGCAUCCAUAUGUAGCUAGUUACUGGAACAAGACCUCAAAGUUUGGUAUUGAGAACGAGAAGCUAUAAUGGAUUCUGGCUGCGAGAGGUUAAGGCACAUAACAAAGGUAUCUAAGCUCAUUGCCAUCUAAGAUCUACCAUUAUAAAGGUGGUUAUAUUCAGAGAUUCUGCAGUCUUAUGGUGGAAAACGUUGAUCAAAUUCGACUCUUAGGUUACCGUGGUGUAUCGUUAACAUAGGGAAUAGUUCAAGGUUCAGAAUUUUCUCAAUCGCUAUAUCUUCAUUGAGGUUAGUUUAACUCUAACUGCACAAUCUUAUAGUACUGAACUUCAAAUUUUUUUACCAAUAACAAAAUAUCAUUUGUACUGAUUAGAUCUUGACAUGUUCAUGUUAGUGGAAAGGUUUCACUCUUUAUCUUGUCUUGUAUGUUGUUGUGAGCAUAGCACAUACAUAUUGCAUUGUGAUAGUGGAUCAUGAAGUUGCAGAGCUAUUCCUUCACCAAGUGGACAGGUAAUUGUUGAAAGUUCUCCAAUUUUUGGUCUAUCAAGGUUUCCGGUUUUGAUAAACUUUUUCUAGACAUGGGGCUACUAUAACACAUGUCGUCUAUGGGUGCAAUGACCAAACUGAUACCUUUUCUUUUUACAUUGAUAUGAUUUUAUUCACAGGUGUAUAGACGUAACGGUAAUGUGCUGCUGAAUGGUUAAGGGUUUUCUCAUCAGCUAAUAACAUCAUUAGUGUCUUUCCUGUAUAGGUGCAUUUUCUAUGGGGAAUAAUAGGAGGCUGUUGGAAGAUGAUGUUCUUAGCUGCUCAAGAAGGUGUUUUCGUAAAUGUUAAUAGUGAUCAGUUUGACUUGAAAAUUAUUGUGGGAAGAUUAAAGAAUUGAUGGUAAGAAGGUUACUGUAUUGCUGUGUGACGAUCCUCAGGUGAAGCCAUAUGUAGCUAUUUACUGGGAACAAUAACUCAAAGUUUGGUAUCAAGAACGAGAAGCUAUCAUGGUUUCUAGAUGAGGGAGGUGAAGGCACAUUCCAAAGUGCUGAAGCUUGUUGGAGCUCAUUGCUAGUCUACACUCUACUAUUACAAAGGAGGACAUAUUCAGAGAUGCUAUCGUCUUAUGGUGGAAAACAUUUGAUUAAAUCUGGCGUCACGACGUUGAGGUUAAGUGGUGUCUGCGUAACAUCCAGGUUCAUGGUUUUCUCAUUUGCUAGAUCUUGAUUAAGAGCAAUGGUAUGUCAUAAAUGGGCCAUUUAAAAUUCCUCUUGGUACCUUCAGUCACCAUGUCUCAUAUAUAUAUGUAACUGUUAUACUAUUUAUCAAUCAGGUCAACCAUGGCUGUAAUGACCAAACUGAUAUCGGUAUAUCUACAUAACAUGCGGAAUGCUUCAAGGUUUUCUCAUUCACCAGAUCUUGAUUGAGAUACAGAGGAAUCGGGAAAUAGAAACAGAGGAGAAACGGAUCAAAGUUAUUGAAAACAGAGAAGGAUAAUGUUUCGUUUUCAGUAAUAUAAAGAUGA